UGGGGAAUAUUGGGCAAUGGAGGCAACUCUGACCCAGCAACGCCGCGUGAAGGAUGAAGGUUUUCGGAUUGUAAACUUCUGUCGCGAGGGACGAAGAAUGACGGUACCUCGUAAGAAAGCCCCGGCAAACUACGUGCCAGCAGCCGCGGUAAUACGUAGGGGGCGAGCGUUGUCCGGAAUGACUGGGCGUAAAGGGAGUGUAGGCGGCUUAUCAAGUUAGAUGUGAAAACCCGCGGCUUAACCGCGGAACUGCAUCUAAAACUGGUGAGCUGGAGUGCAGGAGAGGUGAGUGGAAUUCCGAGUGUAGCGGUGGAAUGCGUAGAUAUUCGGAGGAACACCAGAGGCGAAGGCGACUCACUGGACUGUAACUGACGCUGAGGCUCGAAAGCGUGGGGAGCAAACAGG
rnacentral:rRNA from 1 species